rnacentral:rRNA from 1 species
CCUGUGGCUGGGGGUGAAAGGCCAAUCAAACCGGGAGAUAGCUGGUUCUCCCCGAAAGCUAUUUAGGUAGCGCCUCGUGAACUCAUCUCCGGGGGUAGAGCACUGUUUCGGCUAGGGGGCCAUCCCGGCUUACCAACCCGAUGCAAACUGCGAAUACCGGAGAAUGUUAUCACGGGAGACACACGGCGGGUGCUAACGUCCGUCGUGAAGAGGGAAACAACCCAGACCGCCAGCUAAGGUCCCAAAGUCAUGGUUAAGUGGGAAACGAUGUGGGAAGGCCCAGACAGCCAGGAUGUUGGCUUAGAAGCAGCCAUCAUUUAAAGAAAGCGUAAUAGCUCACUGGUCGAGUCGGCCUGCGCGGAAGAUGUAACGGGGCUAAACCAUGCACCGAAGCUGCGGCAGCGACACUCAGGUGUUGUUGGGUAGGGGAGCGUUCUGUAAGCCUGCGAAGGUGGCCUGUGAGGGUUGCUGGAGGUAUCAGAAGUGCGAAUGCUGACAUAAGUAACGAUAAAGCGGGUGAAAAGCCCGCUCGCCGGAAGACCAAGGGUUCCUGUCCAACGUUAAUCGGGGCAGGGUGAGUCGACCCCUAAGGCGAGGCCGAAAGGCGUAGUCGAUGGGAAACGGGUUAAUAUUCCCGUACUUGGUGUUACUGCGAAGGGGGGACGGAGAAGGCUAUGUUGGCCGGGCGACGGUUGUCCCGGUUUAAGCGUGUAGGUGUGUGUUCCAGGUAAAUCCGGUUCACUUUAACACUGAGGCGUGAUGACGAGGCACUACGGUGCUGAAGCAACAAAUGCCCUGCUUCCAGGAAAAGCCUCUAAGCAUCAGGUAACAUCAAAUCGUACCCCAAACCGACACAGGUGGUCAGGUAGAGAAUACCAAGGCGCUUGAGAGAACUCGGGUGAAGGAACUAGGCAAAAUGGUGCCGUAACUUCGGGAGAAGGCACGCUGACACGUAGGUGAAGUGAUUUACUCAUGGAGCUGAAGUCAGUCGAAGAUACCAGCUGGCUGCAACUGUUUAUUAAAAACACAGCACUGUGCAAACACGAAAGUGGACGUAUACGGUGUGACGCCUGCCCGGUGCCGGAAGGUUAAUUGAUGGGGUCAGCGCAAGCGAAGCUCCUGAUCGAAGCCCCGGUAAACGGCGGCCGUAACUAUAACGGUCCUAAGGUAGCGAAAUUCCUUGUCGGGUAAGUUCCGACCUGCACGAAUGGCGUAAUGAUGGCCAGGCUGUCUCCACCCGAGACUCAGUGAAAUUGAACUCGCUGUGAAGAUGCAGUGUACCCGCGGCAAGACGGAAAGACCCCGUGAACCUUUACUAUAGCUUGACACUGAACAUUGAGCCUUGAUGUGUAGGAUAGGUGGGAGGCUUUGAAGUGUGGACGCCAGUCUGCAUGGAGCCGGCCUUGAAAUACCACCCUUUAAUGUUUGAUGUUCUAACGUGGACCCGUGAUCCGGGUUGCGGACAGUGUCUGGUGGGUAGUUUGACUGGGGCGGUCUCCUCCUAAAGAGUAACGGAGGAGCACGAAGGUUGGCUAAUCCUGGUCGGACAUCAGGAGGUUAGUGCAAUGGCAUAAGCCAGCUUGACUGCGAGCGUGACGGCGCGAGCAGGUGCGAAAGCAGGUCAUAGUGAUCCGGUGGUUCUGAAUGGAAGGGCCAUCGCUCAACGGAUAAAAGGUACUCCGGGGAUAACAGGCUGAUACCGCCCAAGAGUUCAUAUCGACGGCGGUGUUUGGCACCUCGAUGUCGGCUCAUCACAUCCUGGGGCUGAAGUAGGUCCCAAGGGUAUGGCUGUUCGCCAUUUAAAGUGGUACGCGAGCUGGGUUUAGAACGUCGUGAGACAGUUCGGUCCCUAUCUGCCGUGGGCGCUGGAGAACUGAGGGGGGCUGCUCCUAGUACGAGAGGACCGGAGUGGACGCAUCACUGGUGUUCGGGUUGUCAUGCCAAUGGCACUGCCCGGUAGCUAAAUGCGGAAGAGAUAAGUGCUGAAAGCAUCUAAGCACGAAACUUGCCCCGAGAUGAGUUCUCCCUGAGACUUUAGGUCUCCUGAAGGAACGUUGAAGACGACGACGUUGAUAGGCCGGGUGUGUAAGCGCAGCGAUGCGUUGAGCUAACCGGUACUAAUGAACCGUGAGGCUUAACCUUACA